UACGUAGGGAGCAAGCGUUGUCCGGAAUCAUUGGGCGUAAAGCGCGCGUAGGUGGUCCCGUAAGUCCGCUGUGAAAGUCAAAGGCUCAACCUUUGAAAGCCGGUGGAUACUGUGGGACUAGAGUACGGAAGAGGCGAGUGGAAUUCCUGGUGUAGCGGUGGAAUGCGCAGAUAUCAGGAGGAACACCGGUGGCGAAGGCGGGUCUCUGGGCAGUAACUGACGCUGAGGAGCGAAAGCGUGGGGAGCGAACAGG
rnacentral:rRNA from 1 species